rnacentral:rRNA from 1 species
UACGGGGGGAGCAAGCGUUGUUCGGAUUUACUGGGCGUAAAGGGCGCGUAGGCGGUCAGCACAAGUCAGUUGUGAAAUCUCCGGGCUUAACUCGGAAAGGUCAACUGAUACUGUGCGACUAGAGUGCGGAAGGGGCAACUGGAAUUCUCGGUGUAGCAGUGAAAUGCGUAGAUAUCGAGAGGAACACCUGCGGCGAAGGCGGGUUGCUGGGCUGACACUGACGCUGAUGCGCGAAAGCCAGGGGAGCGAACGGG